rnacentral:rRNA from 1 species
GACGAACGCUGGCGGCGUGCUUAACACAUGCAAGUCGAACGAUGAAGCCGGAGCUUGCUCUGGUGAAUUAGUGGCGAACGGGUGAGUAACACGUGAGUAACCUGCCCUUGACUCUGGGAUAACUGCGGGAAACUGUAACUAAUACCGGAUACGACCCUCGGAGGCAUCUCCUGGGGGUGGAAAGAAUUUCGGUCAAGGAUGACUCGCGGCCUAUCAGCUAGUUGGUGAGGUAAAGGCUCACCAAGGCGACGACGGGUAGCCGGCCUGAGAGGGGGACCGGCGAAACUGGGACUGAGACACGGCCGAGACUCCUACGGGAGGCAGCAGUGGGGAAUAUUGCACAAUGGGCGCAAGCCUGAUGCAGCAACGCCGCGUGAGGGAUGACGGCCUUCGGGUUGUAAACCUCUUUUAGCAGGGAAGAAGCGAAAGUGACGGUACCCGCAGAAAAAGCACCGGCUAACUACGUGCCAGCCGCCGCCGUAA